GACGAACGCUGGCGGCGUGCUUAACACAUGCAAGUCGAACGGAAAGGCCUGCUUUCCCUUGUGGAUUGCGGGUACUCGAGUGGCGAACGGGUGAGUAACACGUGAGUGAUCUGCCCCCAACUUGGGUAUAAGCCUGGGAAACUGGGUCUAAUUCCCGAUAGGACUGCAGGGUGGUGCCUGUGGUGGAAAACGAUUUUCUAGUGGUUGGGGAUGAGCUCGCGGCCUAUCAGCUUGUUGGUGGGGUAAUGGCCUACCAAGGCGGCGACGGGAAGCCGGCCUGGGAGGGUGGACGGCCACAUUGGGACUGAGAUACGGCCAAGACUCCUACGGGAGGCAGCCGUGGGGAAUAUUGCACAAUGGGCGGAAGCCUGAUGCAGCGACGCCGCGUGGGGGAUGACGGCCUUCGGGUUGUAAACUCCUUUCGACCGCGAGGAAGCCACCUGGUUGGAAGGGUGGUGACGGUAGUGGUAGAAGAAGCACCGGCUAACUACGUG
rnacentral:rRNA from 1 species